AUUGAACGCUGGCGGCAGGCCUAACACAUGCAAGUCGAACGAGUGGCGGACGGGAGAGCAAUGUAUGGGAAACUGCCUGAGGGAGGGGGACAACUACUGGAAACGGUAACUAAUACCGCAUACCAGCAGAUGUGCCCGGAUGGGAUUAGCGAGUUGGUGGGGCAACGGCUCACCAAGGCGACGAUCUCUAGCUGGUCUGAGAGGAUGACCAGCCACACUGGAACUGAGACAUGGGCCAGACUCCUACGGGAGGCAGCAGUGGGGAAUAUUGCACAAUGGGCGCAAGCCUGAUGCAGCCAUGCCGCGUGUAUGAAGAAGGCCUUCGGGUUGUAAAGUACUUUCAGCGGGGAGGCGUUACCCGCAGAAGAAGCACCGGCUAACUCCGUGCCAGCCGCCGCGGUAAUUC
rnacentral:rRNA from 1 species